CCUGGCUCAGGACGAACGCUGGCGGCGUGCUUAACACAUGCAAGUCGAGCGGUAAGGCCCUUCGGGGUACACGAGCGGCGAACGGGUGAGUAACACGUGGGUGAUCUGCCCUGUACUUCGGGAUAAGCCUGGGAAACUGGGUCUAAUACCGGAUAUGACCUUACAUCGCAUGGUGUUUGGUGGAAAGAUUUAUCGGUACAGGAUGGGCCCGCGGCCUAUCAGCUUGUUGGUGGGGUAAUGGCCUACCAAGGCGACGACGGGUAGCCGGCCUGAGAGGGCGACCGGCCACACUGGGACUGAGACACGGCCCAGACUCCUACGGGAGGCAGCAGUGGGGAAUAUUGCACAAUGGGCGAAAGCCUGAUGCAGCGACGCCGCGUGAGGGAUGACGGCCUUCGGGUUGUAAACCUCUUUCGACAGGGACGAAGCGCAAGUGACGGUACCUGUAGAAGAAGCACCGGCCAACUACGUGCCAGCA
rnacentral:rRNA from 1 species